ACAAAAUCCCCUCGCGCCAAGCAUAGAUAGAGCCUCUCAAGCCACUUGGCAACUAGCAGGGCCUCACCAGUCACCAAAAAACACCAAGCCUAAUCGUUUCGCCUUACGGCUUAGCUAGCAAGCCAGUACAAGAACCCUGGGUACAAAUAAUUGCAUCUUUAUUGUUAUUUAAGUAUUUCUCCAAAAGAUGGUGAAGAAUCACCUCUUCCUAGCACCCCGGCUAGAAUUGAUACACCUUCAAGCAGAGGAGAUGUUGCUAGUCCUGCAGCAAUCAGAUCCUGGACGAUCCCACACAUUACCACCGACCUAAGGAAGUGACAAAUCCCCUACCCUGCUACAGCAAGGAAAGCAGAGUUAUUCAAACUCCUCCAUACAUCAACGGACAACACGGAGGCAGGGGAAGGCCCAGCUACAUCAACUCAGGUG